UGGUGGAGUGAUUUGUCUGGUUAAUUCCGUUAACGAACGAGACCUCGACCUACUAAAUAGUUGGGCAAACCCUUUUGGGUUUGUAUUAACUUCUUAGAGGGACUUUUGGUGAGUAGCCAAAGGAAGUUCGAGGCAAUAACA
rnacentral:rRNA from 1 species